rnacentral:rRNA from 1 species
UGGUGAACUGAAAUAUCUAAGUAACCAGAGGAAAAGAAAUCAACCGAGAUUCCGUAAGUAGCGACGAGCGAACGCGGACUAGCCCUUAAGCUGAUUUGGUUCUAGGAAAACACUCUGGAAAGAGUGGCCAUAGAAGGUGAUAGCCCUGUAUCUGAAAGGGCCAUUUCAGUGAAGACGAGUAGGGCGGGGCACGUGAAACCCUGUCUGAACAUGGGGGGACCAUCCUCCAAGGCUAAAUACUACUGACCGACCGAUAGUGAACCAGUACCGUGAGGGAAAGGCGAAAAGAACCCCGGAGAGGGGAGUGAAAUAGAACCUGAAACCGUGUGCGUACAAGCAGUAGGAGCUCCGCAAGGAGUGACUGCGUACCUUUUGUAUAAUGGGUCAGCGACUUACUGUUCGUGGCAAGCUUAACCGUAUAGGGGAGGCGAAGGGAAACCGAGUCUGAUAAGGGCGCAUAGUCGCGGGCAGUAGACCCGAAACCGGGUGAUCUAGUCAUGCCCAGGGUGAAGGUGCGGUAACACGCACUGGAGGCCCGAACCCACUCCCGUUGCAAAGGUAGGGGAUGAGGUGUGAUUAGGAGUGAAAAGCUAAUCGAACCCGGAGAUAGCUGGUUCUCCUCGAAAGCUAUUUAGGUAGCGCCUCAUAUGUAUCCUCUC